GGAUGUGAGGGCAGUCCGACUGCGACAUCUGUCACACCACUGGUCACCAGGGUUGAUUCGGCUGAUCUGGCUGGCUCAGCACGUGUCUUCUUCCUGCCUCAUCGCUCCAUGUGCAUUCAUCCUGAAGCUGCAUGUUAGCUCAAAGAGGAUGACCAACCCCACAACAGGAGGACCAGUCUUCAGUCAGGAAUACAUGAGUGCUCCCCUGCUAGAACCUCCAAACAAGCUCUCAAGAAAGUCUAAAGCUUCAAGAAUAAAAACCUUUAACCCAUUCCCUUCACAAUUCCCCAAUGUCAUAAGAAGAAUGAACUUG
rnacentral:snRNA from 1 species